rnacentral:rRNA from 1 species
CAGCCGCCGCGGGAAAACAGAGGGUGCGAGCGUUAAUCGGAUUUACUGGGCGUAAAGCGUGCGUAGGCGGCUUCUUAAGUCGGAUGUGAAAUCCCUGAGCUUAACUUAGGAAUUGCAUUCGAUACUGGGAAGCUAGAGUAUGGGAGAGGAUGGUAGAAUUCCAGGUGUAGCGGUGAAAUGCGUAGAGAUCUGGAGGAAUACCGAUGGCGAAGGCAGCCAUCUGGCCUAAUACUGACGCUGAGGUACGAAAGCAUGGGGAGCAAACAGGAUUAGAUACCCCUGUAGUCCCUGUCUCUUAUAC